AGUGAACGCUGGCGGUAGGCCUAACACAUGCAAGUCGAACGGCAGCACAGUAAGAGCUUGCUCUUACGGGUGGCGAGUGGCGGACGGGUGAGGAAUACAUCGGAAUCUACUUUUUCGUGGGGGAUAACGUAGGGAAACUUACGCUAAUACCGCAUACGACCUACGGGUGAAGGCAGGGGAUCUUCGGACCUUGCGCGAUUGAAUGAGCCGAUGUCGGAUUAGCUAGUUGGCGGGGUAAAGGCCCACCAAGGCGACGAUCCGUAGCUGGUCUGAGAGGAUGAUCAGCCACACUGGAACUGAGACACGGUCCAGACUCCUAAGGGAGGCAGCAGUGGGGAAUAUUGGACAAUGGGCGCAAGCCUGAUCCAGCCAUACCGCGUGGGUGAAGAAGGCCUUCGGGUUGUAAAGCCCUUUUGUUGGGAAAGAAAAGCAGCAGGUUAAUACCCCGCUGUUCUGACGGUACCCAAAGAAUAAGCACCGGCUAACUUCGUG
rnacentral:rRNA from 1 species